GCUCAGUCCCUGGCUCAGUCCUUCAGCAUCACCAUCAUGCUCAGGGCUCUGGGGAACAGACUGGACCCAGCUCUUCCCUACCCAAGGUGGCCCACAGCCCUAGCUGUCACCUGCUGGGACUCCCCACCCCCUUCCACCCUGGCCCACAGGAAUCAGCAGGGAGAGGUGGGACUUGGGGCUCCCUGGGGCUUCUUGGGUUUCAUGUUCCUUGUGGGUGGCCCAGGAGUCCACUCCCUGGGCCCUCCUUCCUGUGUCUACAGGAGGCCUGCUGGCCACCCACCUCAGCACACCCUCAGGGCUGGGGUGAGGCAGGUGGUCACAGACACAGGACACAGGUCUCCCACCAAGACCAGGCCGAGCUACUCCCCACCCCAGCUCGGUGGCAGCAGCAGGAGUCCAAGAGGGCAGCCUCCCAGAGCUGAGCCCCCACUGCCGAGUGCCCUCUGCGACCCAAGUCUCCAGGGUGCUACUGUCUCAGGUGUGUCAUCCCCAGAUCGAGCUUCCCCACAAGAGAGUCCAGCAGCCUGUCUGGAAGUCCCCUGUGACAUUUCCCCUUUCUUCUUGUAGGGAGUAUCCGGGGAAAUGUGGGUGUUUGGAACCCACGUGGUUGAACGGGGUCCUGGAGGGUGUGAGGAUGGGGUCCUGAGGCACCCAGGCCCCUCCCCUCCUCUGCCUCCAGGCCAGCCUCCACCUCCCUUGCCCUGUGCAGCCCAGGACGCCUGCCCAGUGGGGCUGAGAGACAGGCCUGGCUCCUCCCUCCUGGCCCGGUCCAGUGAAGGAGCGCAGUCUGAAGGUCAACUUCUGGUGCUGCGGGCUCUGGGAUGUGCAGCUAAUGCCACCUGGGGCUCUGGAGGGGAGAUAGGUGCCUUCAAGGUGGGAGGGCAGGGGUGGAGCAGACAGAGGUACUGGGGUCCACCCUGAGGAGGCACGACUAGUCCUCGACCCUAAGAGGGGUGCUUGGUGCCCAUGGGGGCCAGAGCACCAACCCCCUCUGUGCUGGAGAGACUUGGUCCAGCUUGGAGGCUGUAGAGGAGGAUGGACCAGGGUGGACCUGGCAGAGGAGUCCGGCCACCCAGGUGGGAACUGCUGAGAGACAAGGCAGCACGCGGAGGGCAGCUCCAGGAUGUCCAUAGCGGACCGUCCAGCUCCCACAGCAGAGGGUGGAGGUAGACAGAGAAGCUGACUCUGCAGAGGGACGGGGGUGCAAGACACAUGGUCAGGAGGCUCUGAGAGCUGGGGCAGCCUGGGACUUCCCAGCGGUCAGGCGACUGCUGGAAACCCAGCCUGUUCCUCACGGCGGAACGCGGUGACGCAGGCCGGUUCCCAGCUGGGGAACCCAAGCUCCAGGUCAGGACGUCUGCCAGCUCGGACAUCUCAGCUGCGUCUCAAGCUCACCUUUCCGGAGACCCUUGGUCCUCCUCUCCCUGCUUGUGCCUUGGCAGGAACUGGGAGCCAGGGACCAGCCCCCCCACCUGCCACCUCUGGGCUCCAGGAUCCCACCUGCAGGACAUUCCCCAACCCCCUGGCCCCACCUCUGCUGCUCUGCUCUCUGGAGUCCCAGCAGUCGGCUGCGACUCCAGCCACACGCUGCCCUCUCCCUGACCUCAGGGGCCUCUCGGGAGCUCCUGUCCCUGGCCCCUGGGCUCUCCUCUGCUCAGGCCCCACUGCCACGCCCGCUGCAGGGCCUGCACACUCCCCUUGGGUGAACACCCAUGCUCCCGCAACCCAGGUCGGGACACAGCCGUGACCCUAGGUGCCAGACACGACCUCCUCACACGGAGGCCCAGGCCUUCCUGCCCAGGGGGACCUGAGAAGAGGUUCCAGAGCCAAGCAGCUGCUCCACACCACCCCAGGCAGCUCUGGGCGCAGGUGGAGGCGCUGGAAGGGACCCCAGGUCAGGCUCCUCCUGCCUCCUUACUAGACGUGUGGACUCCUGAGCUGUGGACAGGACCUGGGCACAGGGGAGAGCCACAGAUCGCUGCAGCAAGGAAGACUUUUUGGGCUUCGGGGCCCCUGUACUCCGAGUUGGGCAAGCACAGCCAGAUGCCCUGUGCCCAGGGGGACGGUGUCCCUGUGGACAGAGGAAGAGAAAGCCGCAGGAGGAGGGCCAGGACAGCACAGAGGGGAGUGUCCCCGACCAGCUGCACAGCAGGGACCCACCGGAGGCGGACUGUGGCCUGGGACUCCCCGAACGCUGUCAGGGUACUGCCCACUGGGCAGUGAUUUGGAGGACCAGUCCUCGUGGCCCCAGGGAGCAUGUGACCUGUGACCUUCAUCACCUCUCUCAAGCCCCCGCCUCUUAGGACAGCCUUCCCUCUCCCCUGUUCAGGCCUCCACCUGCCAACACCAGGUGGACAUCCAGGAGGACAUGGGCCAGUGUGGAGGAAUAGAACCGUCCAAAAUGAACUUCAAAUAGAAGGAAGAAGAAGCGGCACGUCCUCGAGGAGCCCCUGGACAAGGUGGGGCGUGGAACACCAGUGGACCUGGAGUCCUCCGCCGCCCCCCCAGGAAGGGAGGGAGACCACCUGAAACAACAGCAGCAGUGAUUUUUCUAAAACCAAAGAAACCCACCACCCACCAGCCAAGGACAAAUACAGGAAUGCACAGCCAGACAGGCGACAGGCAAGCGCUGAGCACAGCACUCAGGCCACUUGCACACCCAGAGCCGAGAUGAGAUGAGGCUGCAGGGACUUCCCCACACGGCCUUGGAAUUUUGCACACGGUGCACCCGCUGGUCAAGGAUGGAGUUAGAGGAAGACACAUGACUUGGACUUCACGACUUAAGCGCAGAAGCUGCCGCGUCACCUGCAGACUUUCAUUGCAAGUAAAUAGACUUUCCUCAAACACAAGUGAGUUGCCACAAAAACACUGCUAAGCUGGGCUUCUGGGCUUCAAAGUAUGAUGUUAAAGAAAUGAAAGGCAAACCACACGCUGCGGGGGAAUGCAGUUCAUAAAUCUUGUAUCCAAAAAAAUAUACAUUUAACAAACUCUUACAGCUCAAUGAGAAGAGAUGUCAGUCAGCUUUCAGUACUGUAAGACGAUACCUGAGAUAACCAUCUUAAAAAGAGGAAAGUUUUCUUCUGGCUGGAAGCUUCGGUUCAUGGCCGAUUGACCCUGUUGCUUUGGGUCUGUGGUGAGAGUCCCUCAUGGGAUGACCACGUGGCAGGGGAAGCUUCUCAGCUCAUGGCAGCUGGGAAGCAAAGAGAGAGCGGAAAGGCUGGGGUCUCCAUACCCUUCCACAGCACAUGUCCAUGACCCAACCCUCUCCUAGAGGGUCCCAGCUCCUAAGGUCCACCACCUCCCUUUGGCACCACCCUGAGGACCAAGCCUUGAGCAUGUGGCCUUUGGGGGCCAUUCCAGAUCCAAACAGACCAUUUUUUUAAAUAGGCAAAAGGUUGAAGAAGACACAGAGAGAGCUCAGGACACUGGCUCCACAUGGUGGGUGAGGAGGGAAAUACGAAUCAAAGCCACCGCGACACACCCACGUAUGUGUCACAAGGGUGUGGCGUGGGGGAGCCUUCAGGUGCUGCUGGUGGAAUGUAAAGAGGUGCAGCGGCUUUUAGCAAUGUUCUGGCAAAUUCUCACAGACCCGCCUUUGUCUGAGCCAGCGAUUCCACUCCUCAUAUGCAAACAAGCAAAGGUGAAUGACUUGUGGGAGGAGUUUGCAGCAUCCUGAUUCCUAACUACCGAGAACUGGAAACUUCCCCAGAGCCAGCCGCAGAGAACAGGUUAACCACUGACCCUUUGCUCAGCAGUAAGGGAAGAGCGAGCUGUGGGCAUGCUCGGUACCCCGCAAGAAUCUGGAUGCGGAGCCGAGUGAGGACGCCACACGCCAGGCAGCCGGGCUGUGCUUAUGUGAGACCAGAGAGCACAGCCAACAGAGCACGGUCCAUGCCCGGGCUGGGCACUGGCUGGGAGGGCUGAGCGGACAGCAAGGACAGACGGGACAGCUGCACCAGACCUUAUGCCCACAGCCCUGGCAGCUGCAGGUGUGCAGGGCCGGUUCUCCGGAGGCCCCUCCUUGCCCGCCCAGGACACAUUUCACAGACCCCGGUGCUCCCGUGUGUCCUCGCUUCAUUUAAGGGCGCCCACGGCCCCAACAGCCUCUCUCCACCUCAGCCCUCCUCACAGGCCCCACCUCCAGGCACCUGGGGUGAAGGACACUUCAGUCCACGCUGUCUCCGGUCAGACGUAAGUUCCCUGAGGACAGGGCUUGGACACGGGGGUCCCUCCAGCAGAGUGCCUCCAGACACCCAAGCGCACCUUCUCCUGCUGACAUGGGUGCAGCUUUGGUGAGGUGGUUGGCUAAGGGGCUCGCACACUCAUGCACACGGGAAUCCACCGUCAAACACACAUGCAAUCCACGCAGGAGAUGGCAGGUUCCGUUUGAUGUCUGUGAGAAGCAGCCUGUGCGUGAACAUGUGCCUCUGAGUCCUCAGAGUGCUGGUGAGCUUCCAGGCAGGUCGAGGGAAGUCCGCCGGCUGUCUACUUUCAAUUCCACAUCUUUUGAAUAUGGUGCUUUCUCAAGAAAUAGGCCAGCAAACAUGGCCCUGAAGGCCUGGCCACCAGGCAGCCCCAGGGGACACACAACUUCCCCGUCAGGGGCUCAGGUUGGCUGCACAGCCCAUUCCCACCCCUCAGCCACAGACUAGGUGUUCAGUCCAGCCCUGUGCCCAGCGGCCACCUCCCGGGCUUGUGCCCACCGGUUCAGCAACACAGUAUCUGCCCACAUGUGGCACAUGUGGCACGUCCCCACAGGAGUGACACCACAUGUAACUGUGCUGUACAACCCCACUCCCAGGGGGCCCUGGACAGGAGGCCCACAGACACACAGGGCAGACAGAGGUCAGGGAGGCUGGUGGGGCUGUAGCCGGGCUGAGGAGGAAGUUCUGGAGAUGGACGGUGCGGUGGCCACACUCUCCAGUGGGCUUCAGAAUGUCCAGAUAGGAGGUGCCAGACAGCUGGUCAUCUCCUCUGUGGGCUGAGUGGACGGAGUCUGGCAGGGGGUGCCUUGGCGAUACUCUGGCCCCUCCCUUCUUGUUCCAGUGAGUUGACCUGCUGGCCACUCACCUGGGCCUGCCAACUCUGCCCAGCCUACCCCAUGAGCAUGUCCAGUGCUUCCAGAACAAGGACCAGACCCCCACACUGGGUGUGUCUGAGCAUAGGGGUGCUAUGAGACUUCAGAAGAGUCGUCUGAGUCCUGGGCAGUGGGGACAUCCCGCAGCGAGGCUGUUCCGCUCAUCCCCAGGCCUGAAUCCUGGGUUCCCAGCAAGGUCCUCAAGCACCAGUGCUCAGAAUGCCCCUGAACAAGAUACGUGGUCAAACUGGGCAUGGUGACCACACCAAUGACCCCAGUGACUCAAGAGGCUCUAAAGUUUGAGGCCAGCCUCAGCAACUUAGCAAGACUCUGUCUCAAAAUAAAAAGGGCUGAGGCUGUAGGUUGCAUAA